rnacentral:rRNA from 1 species
CCUACGGGGGGCAGCAGUCGGGAAUAUUGCGCAAUGGAGGAAACUCUGACGCAGUGACGCCGCGUAUAGGAAGAAGGUUUUCGGAUUGUAAACUAUUGUCGUGAGGGAAGAAAUUGACAGUACCUCAGGAGGAAGCUCCGGCUAACUAUGUGCCAGCAGCCGCGGUAAUACAUAGGGGGCAAGCGUUAUCCGGAUUUACUGGGUGUAAAGGGAGCGUAGACGGCGAAGCAAGUCUGAAGUGAAAACCCAGGGCUCAACCCUGGGACUGCUUUGGAAACUGUUUUGCUAGAGUGUCGGAGAGGUAA